rnacentral:rRNA from 1 species
GUAGGUGGCAAGCGUUGUCCGGAAUUAUUGGGCGUAAAGCGCGCGCAGGCGGUUCUUUAAGUCUGAUGUGAAAGCCCACGGCUCAACCGUGGAGGGUCAUUGGAAACUGGAGAACUUGAGUACAGAAGAGGAAAGCGGAAUUCCACGUGUAGCGGUGAAAUGCGUAGAGAUGUGGAGGAACACCAGUGGCGAAGGCGGCUUUCUGGUCUGUAACUGACGCUGAGGCGCGAAAGCGUGGGGAGCAAACAGGAUUAGAUACCCUGGUAGUCCACGCCAUAAACGAUGAGUGCUAAGUGUUAGGGGGUUUCCGCCCCUUAGUGCUGCAGCUAACGCAUUAAGCACUCCGCCUGGGAGUACGGCCGCAAGGCUG